GACAGAGGUGGCAAGCGUUGUUCGGAUUCAUUGGGUGUAAAGGGUCCGUAGGUGGCCCGACAAGUCUGACGUGAAAUCCCAGAGCUCAACUCUGGAACUGCGUUGGAAACUGUCGGGCUUGAGUGCCGGAGAGGUUAGGGGAAUUCCAGGUGUAAGGGUGAAAUCUGUAGAUAUCUGGAGGAACACCAGUGGCGAAGGCGCCUAACUGGCCGGUUACUGACGCUGAGGGACGAAAGCAAGGGGAGCAAAC
rnacentral:rRNA from 1 species